AUUGAACGCUGGCGGCAGGCCUAACACAUGCAAGUCGAGCGGAUGAAGGGAGCUUGCUCCUGGAUUCAGCGGCGGACGGGUGAGUAAUGCCUAGGAAUCUGCCUGGUAGUGGGGGAUAACGUCCGGAAACGGGCGCUAAUACCGCAUACGUCCUGAGGGAGAAAGUGGGGGAUCUUCGGACCUCACGCUAUCAGAUGAGCCUAGGUCGGAUUAGCUAGUUGGUGGGGUAAAGGCCUACCAAGGCGACGAUCCGUAACUGGUCUGAGGGGAGGAUCAGGCACACGGGUGGGAAGACAAGGUCCAGACGCCUACGGGAGGCAGCAGUGGGGAAGAUUGGAGCACGGGGGGAAGCCGGAUCCAGCCAUGCCGCGUGUGUGGAGAAGGUCUUCGGAUUGUAGAGCACUUUAAGUUGGGAGGAAGGGCAGUAAGUUAAUACCUUGCUGUGUUGACGUUACCAACAGAAGAAGCACCGGCUAACUUCGUG
rnacentral:rRNA from 1 species